rnacentral:rRNA from 1 species
AGCGUUGCUCGGAAUCACUGGGCGUAAAGCGCACGUAGGCGGAUUGCUAAGUCAGGGGUGAAAUCCUGGAGCUCAACUCCAGAACUGCCUUUGAUACUGGCGACCUUGAGUCCGGGAGAGGUGAGUGGAACUGCGAGUGUAGAGGUGAAAUUCGUAGAUAUUCGCAAGAACACCAGUGGCGAAGGCGGCUCACUGGCCCGGUACUGACGCUGAGGUGCGAAAGCGUGGGGAGCAAACAGG